CUAGGGCUGCUGUGGGCGGCGUGUCUGCGGUGCAUCCCUCCCUCUCCUCUGCAUAUACUCCUCUCUGUCGCUUUUUGCCCAGACUUAACGUACCUUCUUCCUGGAUUCCCCUCCCCCACCCCAACGCAAACGCCUAGGUACCCGACAGCUGUUUGAAGAAGCCUGCUGGUCGCCCAAGGGGGGGGGGGGCGCUCUCGUCCCCUCUAGGCGUUCAGGAUCCGGAUUUAGGCUCCUACCACACCCCUCCGCGCCGCUGGACGAAGGGACAUGUCAUCGGGCUGUUCUGGGCCGCGGCCUCCGGGGCACGUGACCCGCGGGCAACUACGGGAACCGUCCGUGGGUGACGCCAGGCACGACUCUGUUGCCGUUGGCCCGACGCCUUCCGGCACACCUGUCCCCAAGCGCGGAGCGCAGCGGCCGAGUGACCCUGGACCCAGGCUUCUAAUGUGAGGAAAAACACGGAAUGACAAGUGUGGGAAAGAGCAAGCACUAAAUUACUGUCAGAAAAAUAAACGGAGUAGCACAGUGGUGCUCGGUGAUUUACGGGGGCAAUUAGUCACCACCCCACGGUGCUGCUGAGGACAGCACGGCAGCAGACGCGUCAGGCCUGAGAGGAAGAAGAGGCUUUGCACUGCUUUCCAGACAACUUUUCAAACAAGAGAGGAUAUUUGAGCACAUUAGGUUCCAUGUCUUCAUUCUGGGUGCCCACCCUUCACAUUAUUCAACCAACCUGAUACAUAAACGUAUUUUUAACACAAUAUUAACCUGUUCUGUGUGUUAAAAAGACUCCAACUGCAGCUUUUUUCUCUCCUGCUGUCCAAAGUAGGUUUUUCCCACCUCUUAAAUGAAACAAACCUUUCUCCACUCCCAAAUUGUCCCCCUGAUGUGUGCCUUCAGUCUGUCUCAUUACUUCUUGCAUCUUGCUAUCAUGUUCUGUAUUUGCUUGGAGCCACUGGGUGCCAAGGAGUUUGGUCUCUAGCUUUUCUGAGGAAGUUUGAUGAGCUGGUACAAAGAGGUGAUGAAUGAGGCUAUAAAACCCAGAGUAAAUGAGAAAAAUACAUAAACUUCCUGAUAUUUGUUGGCCUGUUUUUAACAUAUUCUAUACAGUGCCUAUGUAUAUGCACAUAGCAAAAUAAACCUGCUAAGAUAUAAUGAA